rnacentral:rRNA from 1 species
GAUGAACGCUGGCGGCGUGCCUUACACAUGCAAGUCGAACGGCAGCACGGGAGCAAUCCUGGUGGCGAGUGGCGAACGGGUGAGUAAUAUAUCGGAACGUGCCCAGUCGUGGGGGAUAACGUAGCUAAAGCUCCGCUAAUUCCGCAUACGAUCUACGGAUGAAAGCGGGGGAUCGCAAAACCUCGCGCGAUUGGCGCGGCCGUUACCAGAUUAGCUAGUUGGUGGGGUAAAGGCCCACCAAGGCGACGAUCUGUAGCUGGUCUGAGAGGACGACCAGCCACACUGGGACUGAGACACGGCCCAGACUCCUACGGGAGGCAGCAGUGGGGAAUUUUGGACAAUGGGCGCAAGCCUGAUCCAGCAAUGCCGCGUGCAGGAUGAAGGCCUUCGGGUUGUAAACUGCUUUUGUACGGAGCGAAAAGGCUCUCUCUAAUACAGGGGGCUCAUGACGGUACCGUAAGAAUAAGCACCGGCUAACUACGUGCCAGCCGCCGCCGUAA